UACGUAGGGGCCUAGCGUUGUCCGGAUUUAUUGGGCGUAAAGAGCUCGUAGGCGGUUCGGUAAGUCAGGUGUGAAAUCUCCACGCUCAACGUGGAGGGGCCACCUGAUACUGCCGUGACUCGAGUCCGGUAGGGGAGUGUGGAAUUCCCGGUGUAGCGGUGAAAUGCGCAGAUAUCGGGAGGAGCACCAGUGGCGAAGGCGGCACUCUGGGCCGGUACUGACGCUGAGGAGCGAAAGCGUGGGGAGCGAACAGG
rnacentral:rRNA from 1 species